rnacentral:rRNA from 1 species
UACGGAAGGCAGCAGUGGGGAAUAUUGCACAAUGGGCGAAAGCCUGAUGCAGCUAUGCCGCGUGUAUGAAGAAGGCCUUAGGGUUGUAAAGUACUUUCAGCGGGGAGGAAGGCGAUGCGGUUAAUAACCGCGUCGAUUGACGUUACCCGCAGAAGAAGCACCGGCUAACUCCGUGCCAGCAGCCGCGGUAAUACGGAGGGUGCAAGCGUUAAUCGGAAUUACUGGGCGUAAAGCGCACGCAGGCGGUCUGUUAAGUCAGAUGUGAAAUCCCCGGGCUUAACCUGGGAACUGCAUUUUGAAACUGGCAGGCUUGAGUCUUGUAGAGGGGGUAGAAUUCCAGGUGUAGCGGUGAAAUGCGUAGAGAUCUGGAGGAAUACCGGGUGGCGAAGGCGGCCCCUGGGACAAAGACUGACGCUCAGGUGCGAAAGCGUGGGGAGCAAACAGGGAUUAGAUACC